AAGAUUAUACUUUCAGGGAUCAUUUCUAUAGUUUAUUACUAGAGAAGUUUCUCUGACUGUGUAGAGUACCAGGAACCAGGAGCAGGAGGUGCAGUGUUCUCUCCUGAGCGUGAAGCUGGCUUGGGUGCUGCUCUUAGGCAGCUGCCUUUGCCAUUGAUUUCUCUGAUCUGCCUCAGGUAGAGUUGGAGGGAGAGAACUCAGUCUGAUUGAU
ensembl:snoRNA U3 Small nucleolar RNA U3